rnacentral:rRNA from 1 species
UACGUAGGGGGCAAGCGUUGUCCGGAUUUAUUGGGCGUAAAGAGCGUGUAGGCGGCUUGGUAGGUCCGCUGUGAAAACCCGAGGCUCAACCUCGGGACGUCGGCGGAAACCAUUUGGCUAGAGUCCGGAAGAGGAGAGUGGAAUUCCCGGUGUAGCGGUGAAAUGCGCAGAUAUCGGGAAGAACACCCGUGGCGAAGGCGGCUCUCUGGGACGGUACUGACGCUGAGACGCGAAAGCGUGGGGAGCGAACAGG